rnacentral:rRNA from 1 species
ACUAACUACGCGCCAGCAGGCGCGGUAAGACAUGGGGAGCAAGAGUUGGCCGGAUGUAGUGGGCGGAAAGUGGUCGUAUUCGGUUUGUCGCGUCGGAUGUGAAAACCCAAUGGCUUAACAUUGGGCCUGCAUUCGAUACGGGCAAACUAGAGUGUGGUAGGGGAGACUGGAACGCCUGGUGUAGCGGUGGAAUGCGCAGAUAUCAGGAAGAACACCGAUGGCGAAGGCAGGUCUCUGGGCCAUAACUGACGCUGAGGAGCGAAAGCGUGGGGAGCGAACAGGAUUAGAUACCCGAGUAGUC